GAGGGUGUUAUAAGACCUGCUAAUUCUUUAACCUGGAAUAAAUACCAGCUCCC
rnacentral:tRNA from 1 species